UGUGCUGGGGACCGCGGAUGAAUGUGCGGGGCCCGGGUGAUCGUUUGGGCCCCGGGAGGAUGUGCAGGGGGCGGCCCAGGAGAGUGUGCAGAACUGGGAAUGGAUGGAAAGACAGAUUGUUCCUGGGAAUUCUUUCAGGAUUCAGUGACGUUUGGUAAUGUGGCACAAUACCUCAUCAAGCGGAGUGAUUGAAGCUGGACCCUGAGCAGAGGACCUCAGCAUAUUGAAGAAACGUGAUAUCUGUGGGUAAGGAUGACCCCAGCCCUUCCACAAGAUUUGCCACCAGCUUCGUGGUCCCACGGAGCUGGGAGUGGGAUAAGGGACACCUGACAGUCUAGUCCCACACAGGCCCAACUUCCAGCUUAUGCUCCUGGGAAUAGGCUGUAAGGAAAUACAGAGGGUCUGCUACACACAACCUGUCAAAGUAGCGGUAUCCCUCCCAACUCAUAACGGCUUAUAAAGUUAGAACAAACUGGCCACCAUAAUGAAAUACUUUUUAACCCACAAAUUAUGUAAAUUGUAUGGGAACUUUAUUGUAGUUUACUGUUGUUUUUUUUAAUUUUAUUUUAUUUUUAAACUUUACAUAAUUGUAUUAGUUUUGCCAAAUAUCAUAAUGAAUCCACCACAGGUAUAUAUGUGUUGAGAGAGGCUGACAUGGCAAGCUCC
rnacentral:lncRNA from 1 species